CAUUAUUUGCUUCACGCAACCUGUUACGGAAGUUCUGUUUCAUGCCAAAGUUUUUGCUGCACAGAUGUUUCUGGAUUCUGAGUCAUGGGGAAGGCAACAGAAUUGUCAAAGGAUCUGCGAGAAAAGGCGUGGCACCGAAUUCUUGCGAUCAUCUCGGCGGAGGAAGAGAGCGCCUCUGUUGACUUUUGCCGUUUCCUGAAAUGCGUCACUGGACACUCGCCGCCGCUGCUUCCUGGCUGUGAUGUCAUCCGUUGGUUAAUGACAAGGCCGAGAAGGGACACGGCUCCCGAAAUAACUCAGAAAGAAAAACAGAAGCCUUUCAUAAAAAAAAAAAAGAAAAAAAGAAAAAAAAAGGGGGGUGAUGUACUCGGCCGCCGCCAGCAGGGGCGCUGUUGAUGCAGACUGGUUUGAUGUUUGAAGAGGUACAAUAAAUCUUUAAGAACUUCU